rnacentral:rRNA from 1 species
CACGUAGGGUGCGAGCGUUGUCCGGAAUUAUUGGGCGUAAAGAGCUCGUAGGCGGUGUGUCGCGUCGGCCGUGAAAACCUGCAGCUUAACUGUGGGCUUGCGGUCGAUACGGGCAUCACUGGAGUUCGGCAGGGGAGACUGGAAUUCCUGGUGUAGCGGUGAAAUGCGCAGAUAUCAGGAGGAACACCGGUGGCGAAGGCGGAUCUCUGGGCCAUUACUGACGCUGAGGAGCGAAAGCGUGGGGAGCGAACAGG